AGUCAACCUAACUUAUGGACGGGGAUAACCUCGGGAAACUGAGAAUAAUACCCGAUAGGUCAUGACGCCUGGAAUGGUUUAUGACUCAAAUAAUUUAUUGCCGUAGGAUGGGACUGCGAGCUAUCAGCUUGUUGGUGAGGUAAUGGCCCACCAAGGCUAUUACAGCUACGGGCUCUGAGAGGAGUAGCCCGGAGAUGGGUACUGAGACAAGGACCCAGGCCCUAUGGGGCGCAGCAGGCGAGAAAACUUUGCAAUGCGCGAAAGCUCGACAAGGUUAAUCUGAGUGGUUCCUGCUAAAGGAACCUUUUGUUAGUCGUAGAACCACUGAUGAAUAAGGGGUGGGCAAGUUCUGGUGUCAGCCGCCGCGGUAAAACCAGCACCUCAAGUGGUCAGGAUGAUUAUUGGGCCUAAAGCAUCCGUAGCCUGUUCUGUAAGUUUUCGGUUAAAUCCAUAAGCUCAACUUAUGGGCUGCCGAAAAUACUGCAGAACUAGGGAGUGGGAGAGGUAGACGGUACUCGGUAGGAAGGGGUAAAAUCCUUUGAUCUAUUGAUGACCACCUGUGGCGAAGGCGGUCUACCAGAACACGUUCGACGGUGAGGGAUGAAAGCUGGGGGAGCAAACCGGAUUAGAUACCCGGGUAGUCCCAGCUGUAAACGAUGCAAACUCGAUGAUGCGUUGGCUUGUUGCUAGCGCAGUGUCGCAGGGAAGCCGUUAAGUUUGCCGCCUGGGAAGUACGUACGCAAGUAUGAAACUUA
rnacentral:rRNA from 1 species